rnacentral:rRNA from 1 species
AUUGAACGCUGGCGGCAUGCCUAACACAUGCAAGUCGAACGGCAGCACGGCAGUAGCAAUACUGUGGGUGGCGAGUGGCGGACGGGUGAGGAAUACGUCGGAAUCUGCCCAGUCGUGGGGGAUAACUAGCCGAAAGGUUAGCUAAUACCGCAUACGACCGAGAGGUGAAAGCGGGGGACCGCAAGGCCUCGCGCGAUUGGAUGAGCCGACGUCGGAUUAGCUAGUUGGUGGGGUAAACGGCCCACCAAGGCGACGAUCCGUAGCUGGUCUGAGAGGAUGAUCAGCCACACUGGAACUGAGACAUGGCCAGACUCCUAGGGAGCAGCAGUGGG